CCUCGCCGGUCGCCGCGGCAGCCAGUGAUGCCCGAGCGGCGGGUUCCCAGGCCCAGGUGUGGGCGCCACCGCCCACCAUGCGCCAAGCCCAGAGCCUGGUUGAAUCGUUCGCCACCUUGUCUACCCAUUUUGGCCAUUAUCCUGCCACCUCCAAAUCCUGUUUUUGACACUUCUCGGGAGAGAGAGAAAACGGAAAGAUAAAGGAAUAAACUCCUCGUGGUCGUAGUUAGUGGGUAAAUUCAGAUCUCGUUUGAACCGAGGUUUUUCUUAUCUCCAGCCACCGUAUCCACCACCACCAGAAUCGUCUUUUUAGUCAUCACAGCUGGUCGCCGUCAGUACCUUGUUCAGAAGCCUCUCGCAGCUUCCAUCGUGUGGUUAUACAAUCCAAAUUCCUUAUAAAGUCCAAAUUCAAGAGGAGGAAUGCACGUUUAGUUAAGUUAAUGUCUAGACCUUACCAGCCAAUUUCUAGCUCCUCAGUAUGGAAAUUGCAACUGAAAACACCCCUUCCAAAAAAAGCAGUCUGCAUUUUUCUCUGAGUUUUCUUCUCCAAAUUUCGCACCCCUGACCUUGCUUACACACUCUGGAUACCACCUGCUGUGGAGUGGCGGAAGCAGACAUCCAGCGAUAGCUAAGUUUCCUGUCGUUGACACCCAAGCAAGACAGGCGUGUACCUAACUGAGGACCUGCCGGUGAUAGAAGUCUCAGCUUUUCUCAGAGACAGAUGAGUCUUCCCUUUAAAUGCUGCAAAGUGCUGCAUAGUAGAUGUUAAAUGAAAGUCAGAAAGAAUCAAAUGUGCUGCAAAUAAUUGAAGGCCACCAGGAACACACCUGUAGCUCAGCAAAGUUGAAGCCAUCGACUGGCUCAUCACAACAAGGAAGGCUGUGCACCACCAGGACCCAGCAGCAGCUCAGCAGCAGCAGUGAGAGGGCCUUGGGAAAGACUUGGAGGGUUUGGCUUAUACAAGACCAGAUUACAGAGGGGUAUUGAUUUGCCUUUCCCCCGCCCCCACCAUCACAGUGUGUCCCUGUCCAGUGUUGGUGCUCUGUGGCAUUGCUUGUGUCCAUAGGAGUCCAUCAAGGCAGAGCGGCAAGAGCCAGUUCAACCCAAUGGAAAUAGAUUAAAAGAGUGAAAGUCACUGGUCUCAAAGAAUCUACGGAAUUCAGCAUUUUGGAAAUCACAUAGCAAUUUUGGGUAGGUAUUCACAUGCACUAAAAAACCAGGCAAACAUCCGACUCCCAGGAUAAAGUGACUGAGAGCAGUAGAAGACUUGUUGAGCCGUAAGGAAUAAGAGGAAAAUUAUGUUAUGAAGUGCAGGAACAGCACAGACCCAGACGAGGGGAUGCAGCCCAGAGCCAGUAACCCGGUGCCUCCUCCUCCCCAGGAAGCAGCGCUGGCUGAUCCCCAGAUACCAUGAUCACACCGUCCCAGGUCCUGAGAGCGCCUCAUAGGUAGACAGUUCUUUGGGACUUUUGGGACGCAGCACUUGAAGAGAGGUCUACCUAAACUUUCCUCCUGGGAGCCUGUGAUCAUUUGAAAGUAACAGAAGAAAGUUGUCAGGCUGAGGAAAGUUUCAACAGGCACUUGGUGAGAAUGGGAAGCAUCCAUUCAUUGCGAAAUCGCGGGGACAGAGGAGGAAUUCACGGGAUCAGAGCACUGAGAAACUCCAGAGGCUUCUGGUUCACCGCCCUGAUUCCACAGAUGUGGGUCAGAGGCAGAGAUGGAAGUUGGAAUGGACAAGCCUGCCCUCUCAUCGGCUCUCCAUGGCUCUGUCCUCAGGCUGUUUCUGCAAUUUGACAUGAGGCCUGGCCCCAGGGAAACCAGUGGGGCCUCAUCUCCUCCCUGUGCUGCUCUGAGAUGGAGUCUUCUCAGGGUCAGUCCAGCUCUGGAGCCCCUCUCCAGCUCGGUCACCAAAGCUGUCUGGUCCCAGGGCGGUGCUGAGUGACAGGCACACCAGCCAGUCCAAUUGGCCAUUUCAUACCCAAUGCAUGUGACUGAUAAAGAGAUAACACCCUGUCUCCAAGACACAGGCUUUACAUAAACAGCUUUAAUGACCUCUUCACCUAGAGACAAGACUCCUUAGUGGUGGAACCUCAGGCAUCCGUGCAGGAUGUAAGAAAGCUCCCGUAUAUACAUGAACUGAGAAGUGUGUAGAAGAAUAAAUACUGUAAUAGGUAAUAAAAUGUAUGUAUUUUUAUUUA
rnacentral:lncRNA from 1 species